AGUCAUAUGCUUGUCUCAAAGACUAAGCCAUGCAUGUCUAAGUUUAAGCGAUUUAAACGGUGAGACUGCGGACGGCUCAUUAUAUCAGUUAUAGUUUAUUUGAUGGUCGAUUACUACAAGGAUAACCGUAGGAAUUCUAGAGCUAAUACUUGCACUUCAAACUGAUUUUUCAGUUGCACUUAUUAGAUUUACCACCAAUGCUCUUCGGAGCUUCGGUGAUUCAUAGUAAUUUAGCGGAUCGCUACGGCUUCGGCCGCGACGCUUCAUUCAAAUUUCUGCCCUAUCAGCUUUCGAUGGUAGUGUAUUGGACUACCAUGGCUUUGACGGGUAACGGAGAAUUAGGGUUCGAUUCCGGAGAGGGAGCCUGAGAAACGGCUACCACAUCUAAGGAAGGCAGCAGGCGCGCAAAUUACCCAAUCCUAAUUCAGGGAGGUAGUGACAAAAAAUAACAAUAGCGGGCCUUUUUAGGUCUGCUUUUUGGAAUGAGAGCAAUUUAAAAACCUCAUCGAGGAUCCAU
rnacentral:rRNA from 1 species